ACAGAGGGUGCAAGCGUUGUUCGGAAUCACUGGGCGUAAAGCGCGUGUAGGUGGCCUUCUCAGUCUGGUGUGAAAGCCCGGGGCUCACCCCCGGAAGGGCAUUGGAAACUGGCGGACUCGAGUCCCGGAGAGGAAGGUGGAAUUCCUGGUGUAGCGGUGAAAUGCGUAGAUAUCAGGAGGAAUACCGGUGGCGAAGGCGGCCUUCUGGACGGUGACUGACGCUGAGACGCGAAAGCGUGGGGAGCAAACAGGA
rnacentral:rRNA from 1 species